GACGAACGCUGGCGGCGUGCCUAACACAUGCCAGUCGAACGAAGAGCGAUGGAAGCUUGCUUCUUUCCAUCUUCGUGGCGCACGGGUGAGUAACGCGUAAUCAACCUGCCCUUCAGUGGGGGACCACAGUUGGAACCGACUGCUAAUACCGCAUACGAUCCAAUCUCGGCAUCGGGACUGGAUGAAAGGUGGUCCCUAUUUAUAAGCUAUCACUGAAGGCGGGGAAUGUGUCUGAUUAGCUAGUUGGUGGGGUAACGGCCCACCAAGGCGAUGGACAGUAGCCGGACUGAGAAGAGGAACGGCCAAAAUGGGACUGGGACCCGGCCCAGACUUCUACGGGAGGGAGCCGGGAGGGAUCUUCCGGAAAGGACGGAAGGCUGGCGGGGCAACGCCGGGGGGGUGAUGACGGCUCUCGGGUUGGAAAGCUCUGGUUAUCGGGACGAAUGGAACUUGUGCGAAAAGAGCGAGGAUUUGACGGUACCGGAACAGAAAGCCACGGCUAACUACGUG
rnacentral:rRNA from 1 species